rnacentral:tRNA from 1 species
GCUCUCGUAGUUCAACGGAUAGAAUGCAGGUUUGCGGUACCUGUGAUCGAGGUUCGAUUCCCCGCGAGAGCA